UACGGUCGCAAGACUAAAACUCAAAGGAAUUGACGGGGGCCCGCACAAGCGGCGGAGCAUGCGGAUUAAUUCGAUGCAACGCGAAGAACCUUACCAAGGCUUGACAUAUACAGGAAAAGCGUAGAAAUACGCUCCCCGCAAGGUCUGUAUACAGGUGGUGCAUGGUUGUCGUCAGCUCGUGUCGUGAGAUGUUGGGUUAAGUCCCGCAACGAGCGCAACCCUCGUCCUAUGUUGCCAGCACGUAAUGGUGGGAACUCAUGGGAGACUGCCGGGGUCAACUCGGAGGAAGGUGGGGAUGACGUCAAAUCAUCAUGCCCCUUAUGUCUUGGGCUUCACGCAUGCUACAAUGGCCGGUACAAAGGGCUGCAAUACCGCAAGGUGGAGCGAAUCCCAUAAAGCCGGUCUCAGUUCGGAUUGGGGUCUGCAACUCGACCCCAUGAAGUCGGAGUCGCUAGUAAUCGUAGAUCAGCAACGCUACGGUGAAUACGUUCCCGGGCCUUGUACACACCGCCCGUCAAGUCACGAAAGUCGGUAACACCCGAAGCCGGUGGCCUAACCGUAAGGAAGGAGCCGUCGAAGGUGGGAUCGGUGAUUGGGACU
rnacentral:rRNA from 1 species